AUUGAACGCUGGCGGCAGGCCUAACACAUGCAAGUCGAGCGGAUGAAGGGAGCUUGCUCCUGGAUUCAGCGGCGGACGGGUGAGUAAUGCCUAGGAAUCUGCCUGGUAGUGGGGGGUAACGUCCGGAAACGGGCGCUAAUACCGCAUACGUCCUGAGGGAGAAGGUGGGGGAUCUUCGGACCUCACGCUAUCAGAUGAGCCUAGGUCGGAUUAGCUAGUUGGUGGGGUAAAGGCCUACCAAGGCGACGAUCCGUAACUGGUCUGAGAGGAUGAUCAGUCACACUGGAACUGAGACACGGUCCAGACUCCUACGGGAGGCAGCAGUGGGGAAUAUGGGACAAAGGGCGAAAGCCUGAUCCAGCCAGGCCGCGUGUGUGAAGAAGGUCUUCGGAUUGUAAAGCACUUUAAGUUGGGAGGAAGGGCAGUAAGUUAAUACCUUGCUGUUUUGACGUUACCAACAGAAUAAGCACCGGCUAACUUCGUG
rnacentral:rRNA from 1 species